GAUGAACGCUAGCUACAGGCUUAACACAUGCAAGUCGAGGGGCAGCACAGUGUAGCAAUACAUGGGUGGCGACCGGCGCACGGGUGCGUAACGCGUAUCCAACCUUCCCGUUACUCUUGGAUAGCCUUCCGAAAGGGAGAUUAAUACAAGAUGGUAUUCAAAUUCCGCAUGUUAUUUGAAUUAAAGAUUUAUCGGUAACGGAUGGGGAUGCGUGACAUUAGGUAGAUGGCGGGGUAACGGCCCACCAUGCCUACGAUGUCUAGGGGUUCUGAGAGGAAGGUCCCCCACACUGGAACUGAGACACGGUCCAGACUCCUACGGGAGGCAGCAGUGAGGAAUAUUGGUCAAUGGUCGGAAGACUGAACCAGCCAAGUAGCGUGAAGGAUGAAGGUUCUAUGGAUUGUAAACUUCUUUUAAUACGGGAAUAAAACCACCUACGUGUAGGUGCUUGUAUGUACCGUAUGAAUAAGCAUCGGCUAACUCCGUGCCAGCAGCCGCGGU
rnacentral:rRNA from 1 species